rnacentral:rRNA from 1 species
UACGUAGGGGGCAAGCGUUGUCCGGAUUUAUUGGGCGUAAAGAGCGUGUAGGCGGCUUUACAGGUCCGUUGUGAAAACUCGAGGCUCAACCUCGAGACGCCGGUGGAAACCGUAAAGCUAGAGUCCGGAAGAGGAGAGUGGAAUUCCUGGUGUAGCGGUGAAAUGCGCAGAUAUUGGGAGGAACACCGGUGGCGAAGGCGGCCCUCUGGACCGGUACUGACGCUGAUGCGCGAAAGCGUGGGGAGCAAACGGG